rnacentral:tRNA from 1 species
UCCUGGGUGCGCAGAGUGGCAAUGCAACUGGCUGUUAACCAGUCGUCGAAAGACAUCGUUGGUUCGAUCCCAACCUCAGGAGCCA